rnacentral:rRNA from 1 species
UACGUAGGUGGCGAGCGUUGUCCGGAUUUACUGGGCGUAAAGAGCGCGCAGGCGGCUGGUCAAGUCCGAUGUGAAAGCUCCCGGCUUAACUGGGAAAUUGCAUCGGAAACUGAUCGGCUGGAAGGUGGGAGAGGGUAGCGGAAUUCCCGGUGUAGUGGUGAAAUGCGUAGAUAUCGGGGAGGAACACCAGUGGCGAAAGCGGCAUCCUGGACCGGCACUGACACUGAGGAGCGAAAGCCAGGGGAGCAAACGGG